ACUAUUUUGGCAGAUAAGUGCAGUGGAUUUAGAAUCUAUUUAUGUAGAAUUAAAUUCUAUAAAUAGUA
rnacentral:tRNA from 1 species